rnacentral:rRNA from 1 species
ACGGGAGGCAGCAGUGGGGAAUAUUGGGCAAUGGGCGAAAGCCUGACCCAGCGACGCCGCGUGAGGGAAGAAGGUCUUCGGAUUGUAAACCUUAAACAACGGGGACGAAACAAAUGACGGUACCCGUUAGGAAGCCACGGCUAACUACGUGCCAGCAGCCGCGGUAAUACGUAGGUGGCAAGCGUUAUCCGGAUUUACUGGGUGUAAAGGGUGUGUAGGCGGGCAGGCAAGUCAGAUGUGAAAUCUUUUGGCUCAACCAAAAGACUGCGUCUGAAACUGCAGGUCUUGAGUGUCGGAGGGGUAGAUGGAAUUUCCAGUGUAGCGGUGAAAUGCGUAGAUAUUGGAAAGAACACCGGUGGCGAAGGCGAUCUACUGGACGAUAACUGACGCUGAUACACGAAAGUGUGGGGAGCAAACAGGAUUAGAUACCCUGGUA